GCUCUGCAUCAAGAGCCGACUUGUCGGCGCCAACCUGCCUCCCCGGGCAAGGUGGCUAGCGAAAGCGGAUGCGGCCUUGAGGCAACCAAGCGGGAGCA
rnacentral:ncRNA from 1 species